CAGUAGCGUAUAUUAAAGUUGUUGCAGUUAAAAUGCUCGUAGUUGAAGUUCGGAUGCAGCAGAGCUUGGAAACGCUGUUAUGGUGCUUCCGUUGCUUUUGCUUGUCCACAGUGCGUUGCAAGUACGUAUGUGCUUGUGCGUGCAUUUUACUUUGAGAAAUAUAGGGUGUUCCACGCAUGUUACGGCAUGAAUAUUCCAGCAUGGGAUAAUCUGGUACGACUUCCAAUCUGCCAUUUUGGUUCGUAGGUUGGAAGUAAUGAUUAAUAGGGACUGUCGGGGGCAUUGGUAUUUGACUGUCAGAGGUGAAAUUCUUAGAUUCGUUGAGGACCAACCACUGCGAAAGCAUUUGUCAAGGAUGUCUCCAUUAA
rnacentral:rRNA from 1 species